AACCAGUGAUGAGACACAACUAAAUAACUUUUCUGACACCUCAUAUGAGGGCUGGCAACAGCCCCUGAUUCUAACUCUACUCUGAGGCUC
ensembl:snoRNA small nucleolar RNA SNORD60